CUCAUUGGUUAUCACUUGCUGCUUAUUGGUUAUCACUUGUCUGCAUUAAUUGCUCUUUGCUGCUCAUUGGCUAUUCCUAGGGACUCCUCAUAUGCGCUCAUCCGUGAUGAUUAAAUACAAACUAAGUGCUUUUGCUCUGCUCCUUGGUCAGUGCGCCGAAGGAUAAAACGAUGGAGAUAAAUGAACAGAGGGAGUAUAUAUAUUCCAUUGUACCUGCCCUGC
rnacentral:lncRNA from 1 species